GAGCCAGAACAAGGCUGAGCUCUCAGGACUCCCAUUUUUCUCCCAUGUGGAAAUCCACUGAUGAAAGGUAGAGCUGUGUCUCCUUUGAGUGCUGAUGUCACUCACUCACCUCUUGGCUCUACUCACCUUGAAGACUGGUGUCUGGCAUGUCUUGAGCAGUUUGUACUGUCUGGGAGAGUCUAAGACCUAUGUUCCCUUACAUAUCCCAAACAAAAUGGUUAAGAAUGAUUCUUGGUAAUGGAUAGGAUGACACUCAUUUAAUGAGCUGCCUGUUCUUCCUGUGUGGGCAUGGACUUCCUAGUUGAUCCAUGUUGACUCUUGCUCUGACCUAGACAACACCCUUCUUUGCCCUGCUUUGUCUUGUUCUUGUACCUGCUGUGGUACUGUGUCACACCUGUAUCCCAGAACAGAAGUGUUUAAAGUAGGAGAACCUUAGACAGCUUCUCAAGCCUGUGCCUUUGUCUUGUUCUGUGCCAAUCUUCCUCUAUGUAGAGAGAUAAGGUCAGUCUGGUUUUGAAAUCACACAGACUGGCCUGCCUCUGUAUUGUAGAUUUUUUCCAUGUCCACCAGACUUGUAUCUAAUCUGAGCUUUCUUAAGGAAAUGAUGUAUCAGGAAUUUCAUAGAUAUGUACUGUAUUUAGCUAAGAAUUCAUUCCUCCUCUAGCUCUUCCUGUUCCCCUCUACUCCUUGUAUAAGUCAUUACUUCUUGUUUUUAUAUAACCAUUAAGCACAUAUGCAUAUAUGA